CGGACCUCCCUGCGGACAUUCAUUUCUGUCAUGCCCACCUCGGCCCCUCUCUCGAAAAGCUCGUCGCCUCCGAAGCAGCAGCGGAAUGCGGCGGCGGCGAAGCGCGGCGCAACUGUGACGGGCAAGCCCAAGUCCACCUCGACGCUGACGUCGCACAAAGACCCUGUCAUCUACCACGGCUCUGUCAUUUUGAACAACCUUCCGGUAAACUACAAGAAGGUGUACAAUCACACUGUGCGCCGCUUCUUCUCAUCGGCGCAGCAGCAGCACAUAAAGGACGUACGGCUGAUCGAGGAGAUCGGCAACGCAACACUGUGUGUUGAGGUGGAUAGCAAGGCCACCGCGCAGCUCUUCUUCCGCCAGCUGCAGAACCGCAAGGUGUACGGCCGGCGCUGGAAGGUGCAGUACGUCCCCACAUCAGCGACGGAGUGCAGCCAUGAGGCGUGCCUGGUCGACUGCUUCCUGGUACCGCCGGCCUCGAAAAACUUGGCGGAGCGUGCGCUAAGUGGCAUUCCUGGACUUCUUUCCUUCAUAGACACACCAGAUGAACCUCUGCCGGCGACCGCAGCUGCAGCCGCGUCCGAGCCGUCGCCUAUUCAAGAUGCUGACAACGAUAGUGACGCCGAUGGCGGCGAGUGGGACCCCUACCAAGGUCAGCAGCAUCACAGGCUUCUUGUUUCGUUCGCAGACGAGGGCAGUGCGCUGCAUGCACGCGCCGUGCUGUCGGGGCGCCUGGUAGGGACGUCUGGCGUGCGUAUGUUCCUGGAGUGCCGUCAUGACGGUGGUGCGGCUCAGUAGUCGAAGAGCCUGGGAGGGCAGGAUCAGGUGACACUCCGUACACUGCCGCGACAGGUAGGGCAGAUGCGAGUGGGAGAGAGCCCACAAGAGGCGAAAUGCUGCUGGGGGAUCGAGGAUGAGAAAGCUAGGCGUGCACGAAUCCAUGGGGCGCCUUGGAGACGCUCUCCUCAUCACCGCUUGCUAGCCAUCGCACUCCGGCCUACCCUUUUUCGCUAAUCUUUAUUCUGUGUCCUCGGCUCACACUCCUGUGGUACCACUGCCUCGUUCUUUGUGUGCACGUGCGUUUGUGGUGUUGUGGUGGUGGCGGUUUGGCGAUGCUGUGUGCUGUGAUUCCCUUCAGAAGGGAUGAAGCCCGUGAUGAUUGCAGUCGACUGCCCUGGUCUCUCAGUCUCUGCUUCUACGCUUACGCCACUUGACCUACGUAGCUCGCAGAGGUGUAUGCGAAUGCGAGAGCGCGUGCCUGUGCUGUGCGUGUGCGCUAGUGUGUGUGCGUGUGUGUGUGUGCCGCUUAAGAGAGUAACUCCAUCCACGUGUGCCAUGGAUAAAGACAAAG
rnacentral:misc_RNA from 1 species